rnacentral:rRNA from 1 species
AGCUCCAGUAGCGUAUAUUAAAGUUGUUGCAGUUAAAAAGCUCGUAGUUGGAUUUCUGGCAAGGCAGAGCUAACCUGGUACAGAUGUAUCGUGUGUUGGAUUCUGUCUGCCAUCCUUCCAGAAAACUUCAAUACCAUUCACUUGGCCGUUGUUGCAAUCUGGAACUUUUACUUUGAAAAAAUUAGAGUGUUCAAAGCAGGCGUUACGCCAUGAAUACAUUAGCAUGGAAUAAUAAUUUAGGACUUCAGUUCUAUUUUGUUGGUUUCUAGGACAGAAGUAAUGAUUGAUAGGGAUAGUUGGGGGUGCUAGUAUUCAGCGGCCAGAGGUGAAAUUCUUGGAUUCGCUGAAGACUAACUUAUGCGAAAGCAUUCACCAAGGAUGUCUUCUUUAAUCAAGAACG